rnacentral:rRNA from 1 species
GAUCAUGGCUCAGGAUGAACACUGGCGGCGUGCCUAACACAUGCAAGUCGAGCGAAGCGGUUUUAAGGAAGUUUUCGGAUGGAAUUAAAACUGACUGAGCGGCGGACGGGUGAGUAACGCGUGGGUAACCUGCCUCAUACAGGGGGAGUAACAGUUAGAAAUGGCUGCUAAUACCGCAUAAGCACACAGCUUCGCAUGGAGCAGUGUGAAAAACUCCGGUGGUAUGAGAUGGACCCGCG